GAUGAACGCUGGCGGCGUGCCUAAUACAUGCAAGUCGAGCGAACGGACGAGAAGCUUGCUUCUCUGAUGUUAGCGGCGGACGGGUGAGUAACACGUGGAUAACCUACCUAUAAGACUGGGAUAACUUCGGGAAUCCGGAGCUAAUACCGGAUAAUAUUUUGAACCGCAUGGUUCAAAAGUAAAAGACGGUCUUGCUGUCACUUAUAGAUGGAUCCGCGCUGCAUUAGCUAGUUGGUAAGGUAACGGCUUACCAAGGCAACGAUGCAUAGCCGACCUGAGAGGGUGAUCGGCCACACUGGAACGGAGACACGGUCCAGACUCCUACGGGAGGCAGCAGUAGGGAAUCUUCCGCAAUGGGCGAAAGCCUGACGGAGCAACGCCGCGUGAGUGAUGAAGGUCUUCGGAUCGUAAAACUCUGUUAUUAGGGAAGAACAUAUGUGUAAGUAACUGUGCACAUCUUGACGGUACCUAAUCAGAAAGCCACGGCUAACUACGUG
rnacentral:rRNA from 1 species